AGUUGUUAGUAAGAGCUGUGGGUAGUAGUAGGUGGGUUGCUGUAUUGAAGUUAUACUCACCUGUGUUGAAUAUUGCAUUGCAUGAAGCCCCUCAAGAUGAAAGGGGGAGCAUGACAGCCAUAACUUUAGUACUGUAGAUAUGAGACCUUUUAAAUGAUAUUAUGUUUAUACUAUUUUAUAGUUGAAUAGCACGAUCGAGGGCAUAACGUACUUAUGAUGGUAGAUAUUGCACGUUGUGAUACUUUAACCGAUUAUACGCCAUGACGUCACGUUGCGGGAACACCCCCGCAGCCAUAUUGAUUUUUAAAAAUGCACAAAUUAAUCAGUUCUUAGAAAACUGUUCGUAACUUGAAAGCGCUUCGACUUUUGAUUGUGCAAGUUAGACUAGGAAGAAAGACCAGUCAAAGAUCUACAAGAUGAUGCCCGAAUCGCUUACUAUCUCGAAGGAUUGGCUGUGAUCUGCUUCUGUCAAGCGCUACACAAGGUACUGGGUGUGGCUUAUAACCUGAGGCAGCUAUGUGUAAAGAGAAACAGUGACAGUGGUAAAAAGGUGUGACUGGAUCCAAUAAUCAGAGGUGGGGCCAUGUAUGUACAGUGAACAGAGGAACAGUGGCAGUAGCAGCGAGAUAUAAAAAGUGUCUGAUGUCUGUGGCUAUACUGCUGAUACUUUGCUGUCACACUAUGCACUGCCACUGGGUCCCUUUUGGAGUACCUUGGAGUCGCCUCUGUCAAGAGUAGAAUACACGACAAUGCCAUGUACAGGAAGGUUGACGUUGGUGGUAGGACUUUCACAACAGUGCUCAGCUCAUGCAGUGUCAAUGUCCUAUCCAGAUCUACAUUUUUGAUAAUUUAUUGUUGUAAUUAUUGUUGUACUGUACCGGGUAUUUGAUGUUCUUGUUUUUAUUCUAUACAUUGAGUGAAGCCAUUUUAUUUGUUGCAUUUA